CUGCUGUGGGAACCCGGGUAGUUGACGGGGGCUCAUUCUCUGAGGUGGGAGAGAGGAGCAGACGGGGAAGGCAGUGAGUUCAGCCCUGUACCCGACAUGUGGGGCAGAGCUCCUGCUUUCUGGGGGUUCUGUGGCCUUCUCUGAGUGACGCCCACACAUGCACAUACACACCUACUUCCCCCAGUGCACCUGGGCUAUUCCCCAGCUUGGCAGCUGAUGGGAAGAAUCAGAAAGGGUCUGGAGGGCAGUGGCUGCAUCCUGCUUCAGCCCGAGCUCUACCUUGACCAGUAAGUCCUGAGCCCCGGCCAUUUCCGGGCUGUCCCCGGGCCUGGUGGGAGGAGGAAGACAUGGCCACCAUUCUAUUAGAGGCCUGGCUGUGGCCAAGCUCUCUGAGGGACAGGAGCCUGUAGCACUGGACUUGGUGGCCCAAGCCCCCGCCACCGGUGGACAGACGUGUACCUCAGAAUCCAGAACUCAGGUCCCAGCACUCUGUUCUAGCAUUUGAGGCAGCCUCAUCCUAAAGCCUGGAGUCCCUCCUCACCUCAGCCUUGGGCCCCUCUGGCUGGAUCGCAGGGUGCUAGCGUCUUCCUCUUGGCAGAAGGCCAAUGGAACCCCAAGAGGCGCUCUCUCUGCCCCCUCUUUUCAGCCUCUCUAAGUGUCCCUCCUCCAUGCCCACUGCAGAGCAGCCCCCGUCUGAUUUGCUGGGUCAUCCUUGUCCCCUUGGAGCCUCAGUUUCCUCACCUGUCCAUGGCAGAGCCAUAGUGGGGGAAGUCCCCAUGAUGAGGAAGGGGCACAUUCCUCAGAACAGGGGCAUCUCUUGUCCUCCUGUCGGGGUCCCUGCCUGCAGUGUGGGGGGCCGCCUAUGAGAAGGCUCUGUGGGCCCCUCCUCUGGGGCCCUCCCUGGCAGGCGGCCAGCAGUUCUUCUAGGCUGAAUGAGUUAUUUUGAAGCCAAUGUGGGAGGUGGAUUAAUGAGCAGUUGGCUCUGGAACUGUGAUCGGUGCCAGCCCCCAGCUCCCACCCUUGUGCCCACUGGCUCUGGAAAUGCCACCGAGCAUGGGCCUCCCUCCCCAGGGCUGAGCAGCAAGAGGCAGGCUAGGAGGCCCACUGUCCUGUCUCACCCAUCUCCCAUCCUCAGGCCUCCGGGGCAGGAAGGGGCGUGUGGUGGUUCUUCUCAGGUCAAGCCGAGCUCCUAGCGGGCCAUCCUUGAGAGUCCCCAGCAGGACUUCGAGGCCCCUCCGAGGCUGCCCCAGUUCUCUGCUCUGGGCACAGUGCGUUGGUUGUCCAACAUUCCUGUGAAUCUUUAGCAGCAACAAAAGUUCGGAGCCCUUGCCUGCCACAGCCAGCCGCAUUCCAAGAGGGACAUGCAGCUGGGGUUCCUGCUCCCAUUUAGCACAUGAGGAGCAGGCGCAGCCAGUCACACAGCCAGGGGGUGGGGGAGUCCAGGAACCCAUCUCCUGUGCGUGCCCGUCUACCAUGACGCUCCCUCAAGCCACAAAUGCUCCCUCCUCCCUCUCUCUCCCCGCCUCCCCGUCCUCCUCCUCUCACUCCUUCCUCUGUGGCCCUCAUGCUUGCUCUGUCCCCCUUCUGAUGACCCCAAAUCCUUUCCACCCUCUUCCCAGGGUUUCCUCCCCAUUGGGCCAUGACCUCCACAAAAGCAGUGGCACAACAGACCCAUCUCAGUCACCCCAGCAUCCAGCACAGGGCUGGUCACAGCAGCAUCCACAACUGUCCACUGUCCACUGAGUGACCAAGUGAAUGAAUGUGUGCAGCCCAGUGCGACCCGGAGCUCCCUUCCAAGCAAUCUGUUCCUCCGGCUUGCAUGCCUCUGGCUGUGGGAAGCUCACUUCCUUAUGAAGAAUCCGUUUCCACCUUUAGAUGGUUCUGUCCAUCUGGAAGGCUGGCCUUAUGUCUUUAUUUCCAGCCACCAUGAGAACAGAAGGUCUCUGGAGUGGGGACCUCAUCUCUAACCCUGGAGCCUUCCACAGGGCCUGGUACACAGGCAUUAAUAACUGUGUGCCCAAUGACAUCAUCCCCAUCCCCAUCACCAUUCUCUUCAUAGAGGCAGAAGAGCCAUGAAGCGGCUAAAAACCAGGCCUCUGGGCCAUACUGUCGGGCGCUGGGGCUGAAUCCGGGACUCAACCAGUGUUUCCAAGCAGCCUCAGAGAUAGAAGCAGGCAGGGCUGAGAACGCUGAUUCCCCACUGCUCAAGCAGGCAUCUUGAUUUUGCCCAGAAUUUAGGCUUUUUCUCUUAAAUCUUUCUCAUUCCCCUGUAAACACAGAAUCCCUUCAGGAUCUGCAGGGGAAAGGAAAUUCAUGUAUAAUGAACAUCUCCUGUGUGCCUCGUGAGUUUGUUUGCUCUUCCUAACAACCCCAUGAUUGAAGCCCCUGCUUUACACAUGAGGAGCCUGAGGCUCCUCAGAGAGGCUGAUGCACUUGUUCAAGGACACACAGCUGGGAGAGAUGAACCUGGGACUGCACCUCAGUGCUGUGCGACCCCAGGAUCUUGGGGUUUGGAACUGGAGGAGUUCUGUGGAAGUUGGAGCCAGCAUGUUCUGUAGAGCCAGAAACAGGCUUUGGCUGCCCCUGAAGCCUGAUCCAAAGGUAGCGAGUUCCUCCACUGGAGGAUACCAACAACAUGCCGAGUAAGCUACCACGAAGCCUGUGCAGUUGACACGUGUUGGCUCCGUUCCAACAACUUUAGGAGGAGGGAACCAUGCUCAGCCCUAUUUACCCUGAAGAAAUGAAGACUGAGAAGUCAGUGGAAGGCUCUGGGACAGAGUGGAAUGAAUAUGCAGUGGAAGUAGUCAUUACAGCAGUUCCAAUGCGUGCGUCACUGCUUACGUGGGACACCGCAGUGGUGUAGCCAACCCUGGGCUCAGGGUGCUGCAAACAACACUCCACUUAAUGUUUACAGCAACCCAAGGAAAGCCAGUGCCAUUAUUGUAGCCAUUCUCCAGAUGUAGAAAUGGGUUCAGAAAGGUUAAGUAAUUUGCACAAGGUUACACAGCUUGUCAGUGGCAAAAAAAUGACAGUCACAUGACCGACUUCAAGCCCCACGAGAAAUCCCCAGCCGAUGGGGCUGCUGCUUCUGAGAUGAAGCAACUGUGAGCCUCUGUCAGGGUCAGGAGCCCCAGUCCUCUUUCUAGGGCCACUUGUGACGUCCCCAUCCUUGUGGGCCUCAGCAGAAGGGAGAGUAUCCCUGGGGAUGUCCUCUGGCCAUUUCAAGGACAAAUUGUAGAAGGCUCUCGGUUUGAGGGGCCAUCUUUCCUGUGACCGUCUCUGGCUCUCACAGGUGCAAAGAAUCACCCUUUCAAGAGGGUCUUUGGAUCUAGAACCUUCCACACUCCUCUCCCAUCUGAUCAGCCAUACCACUCUGAAAAAGCAAUCUGAAGGAAAUAUUUUAAAAUUUGAGAACAGCUUUUGGCACAAAGGUAUGCAUCACAGCUUUGUGCAGAAUAGCAGGAAACAAUUUUCAGAUUGUGAGCCAUGGGAUCAGCCUCUUGGAGGAGAAAGAACUUAGAAUGAAAGGGAAAUGCUCAUGAAAUCUUACAUGUACUGAGCAGGAGACGACAGAGCACCAUCUAAAGCACAGGGGUAAGCAAAGGAACAAAAGGAUGUCAGCGAAUGUCGAGGACGCUUGGGGUGAGACAGAGCUGGGGACUUUUCUAUGUUUUUUCCUUAUUGUCAUAUUUACCAAGUUUAUUUAAACAAGCAUUACUUUUAUAGUGGGUCAGUGGGGAGAGAGAUAGAGAGACCUCUAUUUUAUGCAACUAAAACCGAAACUGCUUCUGGAUGCAGACAAGAACCAGGUGUGCCACCAUGGCCAGGGUGCAGGCUCUCCCACUGCCAGAUCCUGUGAGGCUGACAGAUGUUGAAUUUUCUAAUGCUGCCCUUCUCUGAGGAACACUGGACAUCUCAGUUAAAAAUGUUGUACCUGGGUUGCCAGAAAUUCUUUCCAAAGCACUUACAGUCUUACCUCAGGCUUGGCUGUGGGGCGUCUUGGCAGUUCUUUUGCCUGCAACUCUUGCACGUAUUUUCCAAAGCACAGAAUCGUUUUUAGUGGAAGUAGUAGCUUUCCCCUAUAGGAUCUUCAGCGCAAGGGCUGGGGAAAAGGUGGGCAGUGGGUGUGGCAUUUCAGCUGGCUGAUGUCCAUAUUCACAUGAAGGGAGUUCAUCUGAUCCAAUGGGCUUGACCAGGGAAUUUAAUUAUUAUUUGGGUGUACCAGGGCUGAGGGCCCUUUCCAAGCCAGGCCAAGUCUGCAAUGUCCCCUGUGGCCAGGGGAGCCCCGAAGGUCCAGAGACCAAGGAAGGAGCCCAGAGCAGGCCAGGGUAGCCCCUGGUCCUGGGUCUCUUGUGCCCCCAGAUGCUGUUUCUCCCCAGCUGGAGCUGGUCUGCUGAGGGCCUUCAGGAAUCCUCCAGGGGUGCCCAGCACAUCAAGAGAGCAUCUCACUCUGGGCGCCUGUGUCCUUAAUCUUCAUGGGACCAUGCCCGUGAGAAGGUGGAGGACCCUUCAGCACAGCCGCUGCCUGCCCCUGGGUGGGGGCUGAUCCUGAGGGUGGGUCUUUGGAAUGGAGCAAGUAGAGGUGAGGAGUGAGGGGGAAGGGGGUGUGCUCUAUCCUGUGCUUUGUGAUGAACUCCUAGCCCCAUCCGAGGGAGGUGAAAACUGAGGCUUGGUACAAGAGACUUUCCCAAGAUCAUCCAAUCUGCAGCAGAGCCAGAAACCCAGGACAUGAGGUUUCUCAGGGGGCAUCAGGACCCCCAAGUGCUCACUGUGGAAGGUUCUUCCAAAGCCUCCUUCUGGUCCUAGAUGGGCCCAUCAUAGAGAAGGAAUAGUGAGUCAGCUCUAGGCAGUGUGUACACUGGAAAGAACAUGGGCUCUGGAAUCAGAUAAACUCGGUUUCUACUGUGUGAUCUUGGGUAAGUCACUUAACGUCUCUGAGCCUUCCAUUUUCUGUAGCUGGACACCAAUACCAACCUCAUGGGGUUAGUUUGAAGCAAAGGAGCUUUCCUGGGAAUGACAGGGAAAGAGAAGUCAUUGACACCAGGGGAUACUCAGCCGGUCUCAAUGCAGGACAGAUGCUCCCAGGACACACCAGCGGGAGGUGCCCCCUGCCGGGGUCUGGAGGGCAGGACCAGCAUGCCUCCUCCCCUGAAACCUCUGCGCCUGACAUUGCCUGGCACGAGGCAGGGGCUUGAUAAGUGUCCGCUGGUCAAAUGGAGCGGAUCUGGCAAGGGGCCAGCCCCAUUCCUGGUGUUCUCCCUGCCUUCCUGGCUCUGGAGCCCCCUCCUGCUCCGAAGGCUCCGCUCUGCCAUAAGCCAGGUCCCUACCCUGCCCUGUGUGGCUCAGGAGACGUGGACAUCCCCGAGCUGGUCCAGAUGCCUGCACCCCUGCUUUGCUCCUGGGGGAGGACUUUGCCUGUUUCUCAUGGACGCUUACACCGUGCCAGAGGCUGGGCCUCACCUGCACGAUCCCGUUAAUGCCUCGCAACCCCACAGGGCAAGCGCCUUGAGGAUCUUCACUCUACAGAGGUGGCAGCUGGAGCUUUGGAGGAAAGGAGUUGCUGCUGCGGACUGAAUUGUGCCCCUGCUGCCCCCACAUUCAUAUAUGGAAGCUCUAACCCUCUAUGUGACUAUAUGUGGGACGCGGUCUUUAGGAGGUAAUGAAGGUAAAAUGAGGUCAUAAUCCCACAGGACCGCGGCCUUAUAACAAGAGGAAGAGGGACCGGAACGCUCUCUCCAUGUGAGUGUACAGGGCAGGCCAGGAGGAGGGCCCGCUCCAGAAAUGGCCCCGCGCCAGGCUGCCCAGCCGCCACCGCUGGGAGAAAUGAGUUUCUGUUGCGAGCUGCCAAGUCUGCAGUACUGUGUUAUGGCCGGGGCUGACCGUCACUCACCCAAGGUCACACAGAGAGGAGCAACCAGGAUUCAAGCUCAGUCUGUUCUUGAGAACUCAGGCCUGUUCAUGACCCCACAGUGGGUCUCCUGUGCUAGGGCUGUGCCUCAGUAGCCGGGUCUGUGGAGUGGGUGGCUUUUUUCUGCCCUGCUCCAGGGUCAUGAAGCCUGAGUAACCUCUGACUCACCUCAGGCUCGGCAGGCUCCCUGCUGGCCAUGGGGCCAUUUCUGCUGCUGCAGCGCCCCCUGCUGGCCCAGACCACGUCUGCCUUGUGCCUGUCCCCUGGAGUUCGUUCCCCUCCCUCCAGAUCUGGCUCUCCAAGCCCUGCCCCUUCCGUGCCAUCCCUCAGGUUCUGCAGGGCACUGGCCACUUCUGCACAGCCAGGCCUUCCCACCCUACCCCCGAGAUUCACACAGCAGGGUCCACUCCCUCCCAGGCUUGGCUUCCCCAGGCUGAGGGCUGGGCAUUGGCACCCUUCCACAGACCACAUGAGUCAGCUCCCUCCCCACCCAACAAGGCCAGUGCUGGCUCUGUCUGAGGUCCCUUUGUUCAGGUCUCUUCUGAAGAAAGGCACCAGAGGCUCCAGCUCUGGCCAUAAUGCCCCAGAUGAAGCUUGACAGGAGAACUGGACACAACAGGCCAGAAUAUGCAUUCCAGGAGAGCAGGGAUAUUUGUUUUGUUCCCCGAUGUAUCCCCUGGAUCUAGCACAGGACUGGCAGGAACCCCAGAUUCUUCUCCAUGGUCGGAAUCAUUGCAAAAUAACUGACGGAGUUUCACCAUGUUGGCCAGGAUGGUCUCUGUCUCUUGACCUCGUGAUCCGCCCGCCUUGGACUUCCAGAGUGCUGGGAUUACAGGCAUGAGCCACCACGCCCAGCCUUGUUUUUGUAUAUUUUGUAGAGACAGGUCUUACUAUGUUGCCCAGGUUUGUCUUGGAGCUCCACUCCAAGGUGGAGCUCAAGCGAUCCACCUGCCUCAGCCUCCCAAAGUGCUGGGAUUACAGAUGUGAGCCACCAUGCCCAGCCUUCAUGGGUUUCCCUAGGAUCACCAGCUGUCAUGGACUGAUUUGUGUCUCUCCAAAUUCAUAUGUUGAAUACUUAACCUGCCAUGCGAUUGUGAUUGGAGAUAAUUCCUUUAGGGAAGCAAUGAAGGUUAAAUGAGGUCAUAGGUGGGAGCUUAAUCCAAUGGGACUGGGGUCCCUACAAGAAGAGGAAGACACCAGAGCUCUCUGUCUCCACACACAGAGAAAAGAGGCUGUAUGAGGACACAAGAGAAGGUAAUAGCUGUCUACAAACCAAGAAGAGAAGCCUCUCCAGAAAAUGAACCCUGCUGGAACUUGGUCUUGGACUUUCCAGCCUCCAGAACUGGGAGAAAAUAAAGUUCAAAAUAAAGUUCUGUUGUGUAAGCCCCCGAGUCCAUGGUAUUUUGUUAUGGCAGCCCUAGCAGACUAAUAACACCUGCUAAUUAAACUGCUUGUUCUCCA